UGGUCAAGUUAUUAAGGGUGCAGGGCGGAUGCCUUGGCACUAGGAGCCGAUGAAGGACGUGAUAAGCUGCGAUAAGCUUCGGGGAGUUGCACGUAAACUUUGAUCCGAAGAUUUCCGAAUGAGGAAACUCACUUAGAGUAAUGUCUAAGUAUCAUUAAGUGAAUACAUAGCUUAAUGAGGGGAACUCAGGGAACUGAAACAUCUAAGUACCUGAAGGAAGAGAAAGAAAUUCGAUUCCGUAAGUAGCGGCGAGCGAACGCGGAUUAGCCCAAACCAAUAAAGUUUUCUUUAUUGGGGUUGCGGACAUAUCAUAACGAAGAGGUAUCGUAAUUGAAGAGGUUUGGAAAGACCCACCACAGAAGGUAAUAGUCCUGUAUGUUAAACGAGAAGACUUUAGAUAUGAUCCAGAGUACCACGGGACACGUGAAACCCUGUGGGAAGCAGGAGGGACCACCCUCCAAGGCUAAAUACUACCUAGUGACCGAUAGCGUAUAGUACCGUGAGGGAAAGG
rnacentral:rRNA from 1 species